UGAGGAAUAUUGGACAAUGGAGGCAACUCUGAUCCAGCCAUGCCGCGUGCAGGAAGAAUGCCCUAUGGGUUGUAAACUGCUUUUAUUUAGGAAGAAACCCCCCAACGUGUUGGGGGCUGACGGUACUAAACGAAUAAGGACCGGCUAACUCCGUGCCAGCAGCCGCGGUAAUACGGAGGGUCCAAGCGUUAUCCGGAAUCAUUGGGUUUAAAGGGUCCGCAGGCGGGCUAUUAAGUCAGUGGUGAAAUCUCUUAGCUUAACUAAGAAAUUGCCAUUGAAACUACUAGUCUUGAAUUCGGUCGAAGUGGGCGGAAUGUGUCAUGUAGCGGUGAAAUGCAUAGAUAUGACACAGAACACCGAUAGCGAAGGCAGCUCACUAGGCCUGAAUUGACGCUCAGGGACGAAAGCGUGGGGAGCGAACA
rnacentral:rRNA from 1 species